rnacentral:lncRNA from 1 species
CGGCAAAUGCAAAUCCACAUCUUGCGUCGGGAAACGUCUACUCAUUUGUUCAUAAUAUCAAGCAGACUCCCAUCACUCGACGCUAUACUGUCGUCGUCAGGACACGGGAAGCGUUAAGGAAGACGUGAACAGGGCAAGCGCCUCAAAUCAUUUUCGCCAAUAAGACAGAGACGCUGAUAAGAGACGUUAUCAGUGUCAAGCAGCUCCACCGUCCAGUCUCAGCUCCUGAAGCGUCAGGAGGGGCGGUUGUCGUGGAGCCGCUAUCGGUUUCCUCCUUUGCCACCUUGAUGUACACUGUACAUGGCGGGUCAUUGCUGCGUCCACUUGGAGAACUUUUCUUGCACUGAUAACACACCGUUUUCUCCUCUGCCGGCAAGCUCGUGACUUGGAAUGUGUAUGCUGGUUUUUUCGCAUCCUCUCCGGCUUCCGUGGUCCCGUGUUGCACCAGGGAAGCAGUGGAAAGAUGAUCUGCCAAUGGGGACUCCUCGGUACAGCCAUCUGCGGAGAAGACGUGGUCAAAAAGUGCUGGAGAAAGAACGUUGCCAUCGCCACAAGCAAAUGUCACUGAUUUGUUCGAAGAGUUGACUUCAAGGUUUAGUGUCGAUUGGUUCGCCGCACAUUUGCCUGGAAACAGCACAUUCGCAAGGGGGACAAUAACAGCAGCAUCCAAACCGACCCGUCGUCGCCAAAGCUCUUCAAAUACGGACGACGGACUUGAUUUUGAUUGUGAAAGGUCAAAGCGCUUCUCUACCCUCUCCAGUCGCUGCCGCGGAUUCUGUACCAAUUCUCCUCUGCCCUAUAUCAGUAUUCUGCCGCAAGUGUAAAUGAAUAUCCGCCGUGACGGCGGGCAGUAGAAAGCGAGGCAGCGAAUAGAUGAAAACAGCUGAAAAUGUAGAUGGUUUAACCGUAGACCACGGACCGCAACGUCGGUGAUCCAGUCUCUAAAUCUUUACGAUGAGCUGACUACCAUUUUGCGUCGUGCUGCUCUGGUAAUCCGGGAGAGAACUCAGCUUGAGGCGAGCCUUCCGGUUCCCUCUGAUGCUUUCUGUCUACCAACGAAGAGCGUCUCUCUCCACUCCUUCUUCAUCUUUCAAAUAAAUAUCUUCCGCGUAGCUAGCAGAUGGUUGCCAUACAUUCGUUUCGUUGAAUACACGCUUAACUGAGUGGACAACAAAUGCGAGAUGCCUUGAGCCAUUAAGUUCUAUCAGUGUGGAUCACUGCGACCCAUUUCUGUCAACGUCCCCAACAAGCAUCACUAUUUCUUCAAAAAGGUGCUACCCUUCCGUUCCCUCGAAUCCUCGACCGAGCCACAUCCCCCUCCACUUCGUGAAAUGCCAUCGUCUACUAUGACAUCAGUACAGCCGACAUAACGGCUUUCGUGGGCGAAAGCAUGCAGGACUCCCCGUGACUGCGAUGUCCUGGAGGAAACUGCAUGCUUUCACCGCAAUCGUUAUUCGUAUCCAUUGUCUUCGGAAGACAAGAAUGGUGUCACCUCCCGGACUAUAUAGACCAGAAGACAACCAUAUCUCUCCUACGAGGCGAUAGAAAUAUGUUCUGUGUUAUGUUGCUCAGAUGGGAUAUUUUCCAGGCUUACUUGGUGUCGGGUACUGAGUGGAUCCUUGAAUUGGUGGUCCCCAAACGGCAAUCUGAACCGUGCAUCUUUUUCCAGUCUGUUCGGGAUCUUCUUCGUCGACUCGGGAAUGAUCGGCAGGAGACUCUGUGGAAGAACACUGCAAGUAAACUGUGCUUGCCUGUGUGGGGGUGCUUGAGAUGGUGAAUGUGUAUGGCUUUGUAGCGCUCUUCUGCUGUUGCAGUGUCGCCUCAAGGGACUCGAGUGAUAUCACACUUGUACACGCUGAACUUGUAC